UUUGAAUUAUGUUGGCAUAUGCUAUUUUGAAAUUUUGUAAAACUACUUUUGACCAACUUAAAUAAUUAUGUCAUCUUUAAACAUAUGUGAUUGCUUUGAUAUAAUCUGCUGCCUUGCACGCCUGUGCGGCCCGCCGUGCGGGCGUGCGGCAUCUGCCGCGCCUCGGGCUCGGGGCGUGACACUAGGGGCAAGGCUUGAUUGUGUCUAGACCAAAUAGGGACUAGAUCAUGCAGUGGAUAUGGAGACAUCACCUCUGAUUAUUUCAUUUACACUAUACCAAUUGCGGAUGAAGCUUAAUAGGAACGUAGAUCUUGGGGAAAGAUCAUCUCAGAGCCCGAGCACAUGCAUAUUUUGAGAGUGAAUGCAUGUGUGUCUAAACCAAAUUCUAGAAAGAUUACCAAGGAAAUAUGGGUCAUUACUCUUAGCUAUAUUUGUUGAAACAAUGACAAUCUUGUCUUGAUUUCUUAGCUAUAUUUGCUUAAACAAUGACAAUAGAUAUUGGGAGGUGCAAAUGCAUCCUUGCACUUACCAACUAUCCUACAUGGAUGAUUCUAUAUGAGAAGAAGAAGGUUAUAAAUUGGGUCAUGGAGAAAGCACAGGAGAAUAGGGUUAAAAAGAGCCAUAUCAAUUUGUUUGUAGGACAGUAGAUAAUCUAGAACGGCCUUCACAACUUUGUGGAUGCUUGUUAUGGAAUAUACUGUAGGAGUAGAAGAUCUUCACCAGUGUAGCCUGUGGUGGUGCCUUCUCAUAUUAGGUUGUGACAUCAACAAUUGCAAGUCCUCUCACUGCGGCAUGCACUACCCUGAGGCCCAGAGUUUGAUCCCAUCCCAAAAUUACAUACAGAGAGGGAUACCUAUUCUUAGGGAAAAAGAACAAGGAACAACGGCUGCUAAAGGCAAAGAAAGUAUGUGACUGUAGCCACAGGGAGGGAGGAAGAUAAAGGAUUCAGAUCAGGAAAAAUGCUGCAACAAGGACAUCUUAAGACCAAUCUAAAAAAAUUUCAGAACGAUCAGUAUAAAGUGCACAUUUGCUGAGGCUGCUGAAGUCAGUCCACACAAAACUGUAUAGUCUUGCAAGCUUAUGGUUAAGUUACUGACUCUGCUGAGAUGACAUGUACUUGGUUGUCACAUAUCUCAUGCAUGUGUUGGGUAAUCAGCCUCCCUGGAGGUGUGCUUACUUAGAGGUGGCAAAUUAAGGUUUCUGAGACUUUUUUGUACAGUGAACCAUCUAUUAGUAUUCUCACUUCUUCUUAGUAGAGCUUCCUCAAUAGUAAGUGCUUGGGGAUGCAGGCUAUAAGCCGACUCAUGUAAAUCUUUAUUGAUUGAUACUCGUUUGCAGUACUAAUUUCUUGUUGUAAGUAGAACCUAAAGUCAGGAUAUUCACUUACAAUAAUUUCCACUAAUCUGUUCUGUAUUUGAAAGUA